CCCACGAGCGUGCAGAAGAAGAUAAAAAUGGAACCGUCGCCGGUGAGCCUUCUCGUUUCGCUCCUGCUAUUUGCACGAAAUAUGUGUAAUUUUUCGCCGCCUAACUCCGAUUUUUUCGUCACCAGGAGAGCUCGAAGGUGUUCAGGUCCUACAAGCACGCUCUCUCACACCUGGGAUUCUUCGCUCGCUUCGGAGGUGCCUUCGGUGCGGCCACCAUCAUCGCGGUCUACAUCAUCGCUGUGGCCAACCAUGACAUCGAUCCUUACAAGUCUUACGUCAGCGACGCCAGCGGGGACCCACCGCAGAGCGGCCUCUUUGGGCUUUGCGUUGUGAUCAUGAUUGUCAUGGGUUUUCCUGUAAUGUACCUCCACCACAUGCGAAACCAGGUCACCAUGGAGGCAACGGGCUGCGUCGGCGAGCGUCUCAACAACGUGGCCCUGGCUUCCGGCGCUCUCUCCUGCCUCGGAAUGGCCGUGGUGGCGCUCAAUCCCGUGUCACACGUCCGCAGGGA